rnacentral:lncRNA from 1 species
UUUUCAUAAUUCCCAAAACCAUAAACAAUUACCAUAUUCUUACAUCUCUCUCUCUCUCUAAAAUCGUUUGAACCAAACACCCCUCACUCCACUUUCAUUUCAAUCUUCAAACUCAAGAAUUCUUGCUCUUAUGGAGAUCCAUGGAUGAAACAAACUAUUAGGGUGUUAAGUAAAGCUAUUGGAGCAUUUUUGGUGGAACUUAAAGCCUAAAAUCAUCAAGAUUUCUUAUCAUCAUCUUUGUUUUCUUGCAAAAAUUGUAAGAACACUACACUAGUCUCACUUUAUUUUUGAUUUCUUUUACAAGUUCAUCAUAAUCACAUAUGAAAAACAACAAGAAACAACUAAAAAUCAUUAUUUUUAACCAUGAUUUUUCUAUGAUUAUGAGAUGAACUUGGAGAAAUCUAGGCUAAUAAACUUGAAUCUUGGUUAUUUCUACUCAAAAAUAUGAUCUACAUACAUGCAUGUAGGAUCAACCAAGAUUCAUCAACAAAGGAAUGAACAUGAAUUUUUAUGAACAUGCAUGUUAGUAAAAUAUGAGAAACCAUAUAAAACUAAGAAAAUAAAUUUUCGAAAUAUUUCUUGGAUAAAGUUUCCAUUUUCUGGAAAGGAUCAAAAUCAAGAAAUAUGUUGACAUCUAAAACAAGAGUUUUUCAUAAAAUCUCGUUUUACAAAUUUUUGGCAAAAAUAAGGAAUAAAGUUUCCUUUUUGGGAAAGUUAAGAAUAAUAUCAUGUUCAUGCUAGUUUUGUUGACAAUUUUUGAUAGAUAUUGAUACUUGAUGAUGUUUUGUAUUGAAAUAAUUUGAAAACAAGUUUUGUAUAAACUUGGGGAAAAAUCAAUAUUUCAAAAUAAACUAAAAUAAACUAUGGCAAAAUUUUUAUAAAUUUUGUGAUAUAUUAAAAGUUGUUAAACAAAGAAGUUUGUGACUAAAAUUAUUAUUUGAGGUCUUUAAACAUGGUUAAACAAUUUUUGGACAAAGUCAUAAAUCCAUGUUUUAUAAAAAGAUUUCUAAAUAAAAAUGACAAGUAUAUAUUUUUGGAUAAAAUGUGUGCUUAAAAAAUAUUCAUCAAGUAUCAUAAGUUUAUAUAUUUUGAUGUGUACAUCAUAUGUUAGUUCUAGUAGGAACAAAAGAAAAAUUAUUACACAUCCAUAAAAAUAAAAAAAUAUAUAUAUAAACUUGAAAACGAAAUAAAAUGUCCAUCCUUGGACACGAAAACACAAAUGGACAAAUUCGGACACUAUUGGACUAUAUGGACUUUUGGACAAACUAAAAUGGCACAAACAAAGCAAAUGGUAAAACGUGACGGACGACACAAACGGGACAAACGAUACGAAUAAAUAAAACCGACAAGUAGUAAACGACUAGAAUAAAAUACGAACCGUCACACAAGUUUAUGCACUAAAAUGUUCAACUAUGGCAUAAGUAAUGAUUUUUAUAAAAAUUAGAUUUUUAUAAAAAUACAAGUAUCACUAUUAUUAUUUUUUUUACUAGCCCAAAAAUUAUGUAGUUUAAAAAGUGGUCCAUAAAUUAAAAUUUGGGCUAAUGCCCAUUUCUCAUAAACAAAAUUUGGGCUAGGCCCACUUUUACAAAACAAUGGACUAAAAAUAUAUUUUUAGUCAAAGUGGGCUAAAGCCCACUUUACAAAAUACUUGGGCUAAAAACCCAAUAUUUACAAAUUAUUAUGGACUAGAUAUAUUUUAGAAAACAAUUUGGGCUAGGCCCAUUCUUACACAAGUUAUUUGGGCUAAGUCCACAACUAUAAACUAAAUUGGGCUAGGCCUACCUUUAUAAAAUGUUUUGGGCUAAGGCCCACUUCUACAAAUUAAUUUGGGCUUGACCCAUAUUUUUAAACAAAGUUAUUUGGGCUAGGCCCAUAAGCACCAAAAUACCCAAAAUGGACUUAAAUUCUAAAACAUAAAGUAAGCCCAUUCA